UCUCUUCUCCAUUACUUUUCCAUUUCCAGAAGCCUUUAUCAACAUCAGUCUCUCUCCUUCGCCGACAUCAACAGCACCCAUCACUCAUAACUUGCUUCAGUUCUAUCUCAAAAUUCGAAAUCAGUCGGUAACAAUAGAGAAGUGAACAAUAAUUUGGUCUUCUAUGUGUGAAAGGUUAUGUGAAAUUUGGACAUAACAGAGAAGACAAUGGAGUAGUGCAUCAUGAAUGGGCCUCCGCAGCUCAGUGAGUUCAUUAGCUUUUGAACAACCAUUCAAUUAGCUUUGGAAAAGGUUGAAGAAGGCUAAGGACCUUGGUUUACAGUUAAACAUAGCCAUAGACCUUGGUGAGAAUAACAGUCAUAUACCAUAGGAUGAGAAAGGAAGAUUUACAAACAGCAGCAGAUGGAAGGUCAGAAAAAUUGAAGAAGAGCUGUUAGUGGUAGUAGCAAAGAUCAUAUUGUCAGUAUUGGCGGGUGGGUUUCUGCUGGUGUUCUCACAUCUCUAUGAGCAACUGAUACUGAGGCCUAAAGGGCUAAGAUCAAAGCUCCAAAAGCAAGAAAUUAGAGGGCGUCCUCCUUCAUUCCUCUUGGGGAAUAUCCUUGCGUAAUGCCUUCAAAGCAAGGUCCACUCAACAGCAACAAAGACUACAGAUCCUUAAAAGCCUCAGCAUGAUGAUAGUCAUGUCUCUUCUAUUUGUCACCAAUGACCUUCAAAAAUCUUCCCCCACGGAGUGAAGAAGUGAAUAUGAAAUGCAUAUGAGUUCAGAAAAGUAUUCUAGUACUGAAGUAGAUGUUGAGACCUUUCAGCUCUUGCUCAAGCAUGAAAAACUUUCCUGCAUCAGCCCAGAAACCUAUAAUCCGACUGCAUGAUUUUCUGAAUGGAGUUGGAGACAUUUGAGCACAGCACAAAAUUCUAUUGUAGAAUCACAAUCACCCUCAGUGCCCACAACAAUGUAGCUGCUAGCAGCGGUGAAGAGUUCUUGGACCAAUUGAAGAAGUUGAGAAGGGAAACUUGAUGUAUAAGCUUGAAGUGUUCUUGAACUCUUGCGUACUUCAUGGCUGGUAGGAGGCAAUUGCCACUCUACAAAGCAUGAAGGUGACGACCUUUCAGGUCAAUACACAAAUGACCCUUGGGGUUGUACAAAAUGUUAACCAAACAUGUGAAAGAUCUGUUUGAAAAUAAGAACUUCACUUAAUUGAUUACUAUUAGUUGUUAAUUCACUUGAAAAGAAAUAACUUGAUAUUUGUUAUACAACCUAAAUGCAGU
rnacentral:lncRNA from 1 species